CUUCACACUAUCCUCCAGUAAAAAAAAAUCAAAUUGAUCAAAUAUUUACAUGUUUACAAAUGAAAUAAUUUAAUAGUAUAAGACAGCAUAGAUUCAUUUUAUAUUAUCUCAUGUAGGUAAGACUUCUUUAAUCAUAACUCAAUACAUAAGCCAUAAAAGACUGACAAAUUCAAAUUUAUAAAAACGGUGUGCUUGACAAUAACAUGUUUUUAAAAUCAUAACCGAAGUAAGUGACCAAUGAAAAUGUUGGAAAUUGUAUCUGCAGCUCAGACAACUGAAAAAGGACUAAUCUGCUUAUAGAUGGAGAGCUAACAGAAGUGGAGAGACAAAGACCUGUCCACGAGAAGUCUCAUGCCCCUUCCUUCACUCUGACACCUCCUUAACAUGCUCCUGAAAUGUCAGCAUCAUGAGACAUGAGCUACACAAUGAUGCAGUAUGGGAAUUAAGAGCUUGAUGGAGAUACCUCUCACUGGACCUCUCUGAAUCUGGUUCGUCAGAUGCGUGACGCAGCCUGCUCUCCUGUUGUGGAGCUUCUUGCUGAGGAUAAUGGGGAUCUCCUCACACACACUUGUUUGUGUGGAAGUCAUUGCCCAGGCACAUGUAGUACUUUUCUACGAUGACCUAGGCCACCUUCGUCACAGUCUUGAUGCCAACACGACCCAUGUUGAAUCUGGAAUUGUGGAGCAGACUUCGCAAGGCUUCUCUGACCUCUGCCUCCCGCUCUGGGAUCUGUGAAACACACUGGGCUCUUCUUCUAGACCUCCCUUUUUGAAGCUCCUCCAAAGACCGUUUCAUCAUCUCUACUCAACAGUCUCCUCAGGAAAUUGCCUCUUCAGUAGGCAAAUGUCACUUGCCACAAACUUAUCUUUGGCAUGAGGAUAAGACAGUGCUAAGGUAGAACUGUCUGUACCUUCUUUGGGUUUACAUUGUGAUAACUGCAAGGAGAAAAAUAAAUUGGGCUGAGUGGAUAGAAAA
rnacentral:lncRNA from 1 species